CCCUUAGAUGUCCUGGGCCGCACGCGCGCUACACUGACAUGUUCAACAAGUUUCUCCUAGUUCGACAGGACUGGGAAAUCUUUGAACGCAUGUCGUGCUAGGGAUAGAUCAUUGCAAUUAUUGAUCUUGAACGAGGAAUUCCUAGUAAACGCGAGUCAUCAGCUCGCAUUGAUUACGUCCCUGCCCUUUGUACACACCGCCCGUCGCACCUACCGAUUGAAUGUUUCGGUGAAGAUUCCGGAUAGGACUGAUUUGAUUUAUUUCAUUUCUGACCUAAAAGCUAUCUAAACCUCAACAUUUAGAGGAAGGUGAAGUCGUAACA
rnacentral:rRNA from 1 species